AUUGGACGCUGGCGGCAUGCUUUACACAUGCAAGUCGAACGGUAACAGGUCUUCGGAUGCUGACGAGUGGCGAACGGGUGAGUAAUGCAUCGGAACGUGCCCAGUCGUGGGGGAUAACACAGCGAAAGCUGCGCUAAUACCGCAUACGAUCUAUGGCUGAAAGCGGGGGACCGUAAGGCCUCGCGCGAUUGGAGCGGCCGAUGUCAGAUUAGGUAGUUGGUGGGGUAAAGGCCCACCAAGCCAACGAUCUGUAGCUGGUCUGAGAGGACGACCAGCCACACUGGGACUGAGACACGGCCCAGACUCCUACGGGAGGCAGCAGUGGGGAAUUUUGGACAAUGGGCGCAAGCCUGAUCCAGCAAUGCCGCGUGCAGGAAGAAGGCCUUCGGGUUGUAAACUGCUUUUGUAUGGAACGAAACGGCUCUCUCUAAUACAGAGGGCUAAUGACGGUACCGUAAGAAUAAGCACCGGCUAACUUCGUGCCAGCCGCCGCCGUAA
rnacentral:rRNA from 1 species